rnacentral:rRNA from 1 species
AUUGAACGCUGGCGGCGUGCCUAACACAUGCAAGUCGAGCGGUAACAGGUGUAGCAAUACAUGCUGACGAGCGGCGGACGGGUGAGUAACGCUUGGGAAUCUGCCUAUUAGUGGGGGACAACCCGGGGAAACUCGGGCUAAUACCGCAUACGCUCUACGGAGGAAAGCCGGGGACCGCAAGGCCUGGCGCUAAUAGAUGAGCCCAAGUCGGAUUAGCUAGUUGGUAGGGUAAUGGCCUACCAAGGCGACGAUCCGUAACUGGUCUGAGAGGACGACCAGUCACACCGGAACUGAGACACGGUCCGGACUCCUACGGGAGGCAGCAGUGGGGAAUAUUGGACAAUGGGCGAAAGCCUGAUCCAGCGACGCCGCGUGGGUGAAGAAGGCCUGCGGGUUGUAAAGCCCUUUCAGUGGGGAAGAAAGCCUCGACCUAACACGUCGGGGUCUUGACGUAACCCAUAGAAGAAGCACCGGCUAACUCUGUGCCAGCCGCCGCAGU